rnacentral:rRNA from 1 species
UACGGAGGUUGCGAGUGUUGUUCGGAUUUACUGGGCGUAAAGCGCGCGUAGGCGGCCUUUCAAGUCAGGCGUGAAAGCCCCCGGCUCAACCGGGGAACUGCGUCUGAUACUGUUUGGCUUGAGUUCGGUAGAGGGGAGUGGAAUUCCCGGUGUAGCGGUGAAAUGCGUAGAUAUCGGGAAGAACACCGGUGGCGAAGGCGUCUCCCUGGACCGAUACUGACGCUGAGGCGCGAAAGCUAGGGGAGCGAAGGGGAUUAGAUACCCGCGUA